GACGUAGGGCGCAAGCGUUGUCCGGAUUUAUUGGGCGUAAAGAGCUCGUAGGCGGCUCGUUGCGUCGGCUGUGAAAACCCGCAGCUCAACUGUGGGCUUGCAGCCGAUACGGGCAGACUAGAGGUAUGCAGGGGAGAACGGAAUUCCUGGUGUAGCGGUGGAAUGCGCAGAUAUCAGGAGGAACACCGGUGGCGAAGGCGGUUCUCUGGGCAUUACCUGACGCUGAGGAGCGAAAGCAUGGGGAGCGAACAGG
rnacentral:rRNA from 1 species